rnacentral:sRNA from 1 species
AUUCUACCGGUCUGUUUGU